CUCUCUCUCUCUCUCUCUCUCUCUCUCUCUCUUGCUUCCGUCGACGGCAACCAGCGCAAUGGCGGACACACGAGAAGAUCUUGACCUCCCUGCCUUCGCCGGCACGUCCUUAACUCCACGGCUACCUGUACUGGCGUAAUCUUAAUCUGCUGGCCGCCAUCCCAUCCCUGUCUCUUCCAACUUCGGGUGGGGUAAGGAGCGGCGGGUCCGGGGCGAGCAGCACGGUGGCACACCAUGGCCCUGCAGGCAGGCCGAGCAGCAGCAGCAACCUGCCCUGGCUAGGACGUAGAGCAGAUUUGAUUGGAGGAGUGAGGUGACCAUGCAUCACAUCAAUUCUCCCUUGGUACUUCAGUCAGGGCCUUACACUGCCAUCUACAAUCAACUAAUAUCAGCGAUCGUUAAUUCAGCAGGAGGUGUUCAUUUUAUGUCAGGCCAUGUGCAGGCCUACAAGUAGUACAUUUAUAUGGAAUGCUAUUGUUCCAUCCUUACCAGCUCAUGGCCGCGUAGUUUCAGCAUAUUUAUAUUUUCAAUAAUUUGUUCACGCCAUCAUUUUUCCGCUAACAAUUUUUUUUUAUCUUCUUCAUUCCAGCUGAGACAUCUUCUUAUGGUUGUUUAUUGUUGUGUGGAGUUUACAAAUGGCCUAAGAUUAUUUGAUCGACAAUGGCGAUAUGGAGAAUUCAAUAUGCAGAUUUUAUUACCAUUAGUAUUGUUAGUCCAGAUCCAAAAAGUUACAGUAUAUGUGGUUAAAUGAAGGUUCAAGGUGUGCCUGGUUUGAUCACUCCGGCAACCUGUCGGUAUUGUUGCCUGGUGUUGUGUGCACAUUUUCAGAAAAAUUGUUGGUGCUAAUGUUCUAUCAGGAUCUUCGGUGUAUCUUCUAUCUUUAGUUAGUGCUGAUAAGUAUUUGGAGAUUUUGCAUUUUGUCCCGGUUCAUGAAAUUGCUGAAUUCAGUAAACCUUUUCCUUCUUCUAGCAGAAGCAUUUUCAGGCGAGAAGAGAUCUUCUCAUUCCCUAAAAUAUCUCGAAAGAGAUUCAGACCAUUGAACACCUAUAGGAGGAUAAGAAAAUAAAGGGAUGUAUUGGCAUGGAUUCUUGGCUAGAUGAGAUGAAACCCUUCCAUGUAGAGCGAAAUAUGCGAGCUGUAUCAUAACUCACAAGUUCAAGAAUAAAGAAGUAAGAAUUGCUACCUUAGGAAUUCCACAUGUGGGGACAAACUGUUGGGAGCAUGACUGAAUAUAAUAAUAGGAUGCAUUGUUUCCUAUUAAGAUUUUUUGGGUCUAUUGGCGAUGAUGCAAGUAUUGUCUUUAGAAAUUCAUGAGAGAGUUCGUUAGGAUGGUCAUAUAGGUCUUUAUUUUGCUGUUACAAGUCGUGUGCGCUUUGGAUGAAAUAUGUUACUGCCAUAUUCAUUGGACAAGUGUUCUAACGUGUGUAUUAUUUCCAGGGAACCAUAACAUGUGAUUGUUGUUGUUUA